rnacentral:rRNA from 1 species
GACGAACGCUGGCGGCGUGCUUAACACAUGCAAGUCGAACGGACAGGCCCUGCUUUUGUGGGGUGCUCGAGUGGCGAACGGGUGAGUAACACGCGAGUAACCUGCCCUUGACUGUGGGAUAACUUCAGGAAACUGGGGCUAAUACCGGAUAGGAGCUCCUGCUGCAUGGUGGGGGUUGGAAAGUUUCGGCGGUUGGGGAUGGACUCGCGGCUUAUCAGCUUGUUGGUGGGGUAGUGGCUUACCAAGGCUUUGACGGGUAGCCGGCCUGAGAGGGUGACCGGCCACCUUGGUACUGAGGUACGGCCCAGACUCCUACGGGAGGCAGCAGUGGGGAAUAUUGCACAAUGGGCGGAAGCCUGAUGCAGCAACGCCGCGUUCGGGAUGCCGGCCUUCGGGUUGUAAACCGCUUUCGCCUGUGACGAAGCGUGAGUGACGGUAAUGGGUAAAGAAGCACCGGCUAACUACGUG